GACGAACGCUGGCGGCGUGCUUAACACAUGCAAGUCGAACGGUGAAGGGGUCUGCUUUUGUGGGCCCUGGAUGAGUGGCGAACGGGUGAGUAACACGUGAGUAACCUGCCCCCUUCUUCUGGAUAACCGCAUGAAAGUGUGGCUAAUACGGGAUAUUCUGGGUCUGUCGCAUGAUGGGUCUGGGAAAGAUUGCGCCUUUGGGUGUUUUUGGUGGGGGAUGGGCUCGCGGCCUAUCAGCUUGUUGGUGGGGUGAUGGCCUACCAAGGCGGUGACGGGUAGCCGGCCUGAGAGGGUGGACGGUCACACUGGGACUGAGACACGGCCCAGACUCCUACGGGAGGCAGCAGUGGGGAAUAUUGCACAAUGGGCGCAAGCCUGAUGCAGCGACGCCGCGUGAGGGAUGGAGGCCUUCGGGUUGUAAACCUCUUUCGCCAGUGAAGCAGGCCUGCUCCUUGUGGGUGGGUUGACGGUAGCUGGAGAAGAAGCGCCGGCUAACUACGUG
rnacentral:rRNA from 1 species